UUGUAUUCGCGGCGUCGAUCGAUCAUCCAGGUGAGUUGAGGAAUUAGUGAGCAGUCUUCAACUAUGGAUCAACAAUCAAGAAUGUCUCCUCUCAUUCUGGUGGAGACGAGUGCGGCCCAAGGCACUGAAUGCGCUCACCAAGUCGAUGCUAGAAGGUGCGGCAGGAUUUUUCCUGUUGCAGGUACGGCCGGAAAAAUCCUGCCGCCAUUUUGGUGCGACCAAAAACGUAAAUGUUUUUUAAGUAACAUUCAGGACAAUUUGAGCUUGUUUUGAAAUCGAUUUUUAGAAAAAUGUAUUUUCAGAAUUUGUCGAAGAUUUUCUGAAAGUUCUCGACUAUUACGCAAGAACGUUGUAAGGGUUGAGAAUGCCUUUAGGAUCCAAGAGCUUCUUCAUGUUCUUCAUCAAUUGCAC
rnacentral:lncRNA from 1 species